UGGUGAGGGCUUAGUCUCUG
rnacentral:siRNA from 1 species